UACGUAGGGGGCGAGCGUUGUCCGGAAUUACUGGGCGUAAAGAGCGUGUAGGCGGCCUGUUUAGUCAGAUGUGAAAACUCUCGGCUCAACUGGGAGACUGCAUUUGAUACUGGCAGGCUGGAGUGCAGGAGAGGGAAGUGGAAUUCCAAGUGUAGCGGUGAAAUGCGCAGAUAUUUGGAAGAACACCAGUGGCGAAGGCGGCUUCCUGGACUGUUACUGACGCUGAGACGCGAAAGCUAGGGGAGCGAAC
rnacentral:rRNA from 1 species